CGUGAGGAACCUGCCUCAAAGAGGGGGACAACAGUUGGAAACGACUGCUAAUACCGCAUAAGCCCACAGCUCGGCAUCGAGCAGAGGGAAAAGGAGUAAUCCGCUUUGAGAUGGCCUCGCGUCCGAUUAGCUAGUUGGUGAGGUAACGGCCCACCAAGGCGACGAUCGGUAGCCGGACUGAGAGGUUGAACGGCCACAUUGGGACUGAGACACGGCCCAGACUCCUACGGGAGGCAGCAGUGGGGAAUAUUGCACAAUGGGGGAAACCCUGAUGCAGCGACGCCGCGUGGAGGAAGAAGGUCUUCGGAUUGUAAACUCCUGUUGUUGAGGAAGACAAUGACGGUACUCAACAAGGAAGUGACGG
rnacentral:rRNA from 1 species